rnacentral:misc_RNA from 1 species
GAAAUGCGAUAAUUAAUGUGAAUUGCAGAAUUCAGUGAAUCAUCGAGUCUUUGAACGCACAUUGCGCCCCCUGGUAUUCCGGGGGGCAUGCCUGUCCGAGCGUCAUUGCUGCCCUCAAGCACGGCUUGUGUGUUGGGCUUCCGUCCCUGGCAACGGGGACGGGCCCAAAAGGCAGUGGCGGCACCAUGUCUGGUCCUCGAGCGUAUGGGGCUUUGUCACGCUCCCGUAGGUCCAGCUGGCAGCUAGCCUCGCAACCAAUCUUUUUAACCAGGUUGACCUCGGAUCAGGUAGGGAUACCCGCUGAACUUAAGC